AUACGUAGGGUGCGAGCGUUGUCCGGAAUUACUGGGCGUAAAGAGCUCGUAGGUGGUUUGUCGCGUCGUCUGUGAAAUUCCGGGGCUUAACUCUGGGCGUGCAGGCGAUACGGGCAUAACUUGAGUACUGUAGGGGAGACUGGAAUUCCUGGUGUAGCGGUGAAAUGCGCAGAUAUCAGGAGGAACACCGGUGGCGAAGGCGGGUCUCUGGGCAGUAACUGACGCUGAGGAACGAAAGCAUGGGUAGCGAACAGGAUUAGAUACCCUGGUAGUCCAUGCCGUAAACGGUGGGCGCUAGGUGUAGGGGUCUUCCACGACUUCUGUGCCGUAGCUAACGCAUUAAGCGCCCCGCCUGGGGAGUACGGCCGCAAGGCUAAAACUCAAAGGAAUUGACGGGG
rnacentral:rRNA from 1 species